GAAAUGCGAUAAGUAAUGUGAAUUGCAGAAUUCAGUGAAUCAUCGAAUCUUUGAACGCACCUUGCGCUCCUUGGUAUUCCUUGGAGCAUGCCUGUUUGAGUAUCAUGAAAUCUUCAAAGUAAAUCUUUUGUUAACUCAAUUGGUUUCUACUUUGGUAUUGGAGGUCUUUGCAGCUUCACACCUGCUCCUCUUUGUUCAUUAGCUGGAUCUCAGUGUUAUGCUUGGUUCCACUCGGCGUGAUAAGUUAUCUAUCGCUGAGGGCACUGUAAAAGGUGGCCAAGGUAAAUGCAGAUGAACCGCUUCUAAUAGUCCAUUGACUUGGACAAUACUUUUAUGAUCUGAUCUCAAAUCAGGUAGGACUACCCGCUGAACUUAAGC
rnacentral:misc_RNA from 1 species